GACGAACGCUGGCGGCGUGCUUAACACAUGCAAGUCGAACGGAAAGGCCUGCUUUCCCUUGUGGAUUGCGGGUACUCGAGUGGCGAACGGGUGAGUAACACGUGAGUGAUCUGCCCCCAACUUGGGUAUAAGCCUGGGAAACUGGGUCUAAUUCCCGAUAGGACUGCAGGGUGGUGCCUGUGGUGGAAAACGAUUUUCUAGUGGUUGGGGAUGAGCUCGCGGCCUAUCAGCUUGCUGGUGGGGUAAUGGCCUACCAAGGCGGCGACGGGUAGCCGGCCUGAGAGGGUGGACGGCCACAUUGGGACUGAGAUACGGCCCAGACUCCUACGGGAGGCAGCAGUGGGGAAUAUUGCACAAUGGGCGGAAGCCUGAUGCAGCGACGCCGCGUGGGGGAUGACGGCCUUCGGGUUGUAAACUCCUUUCGACCGCGAGGAAGCCACCUGGUUGGAAGGGUGGUGGCGGUAGUGGUAGAAGAAGCACCGGCUAACUACGUG
rnacentral:rRNA from 1 species